rnacentral:lncRNA from 1 species
GUAGUGUAGACAUGGCCAUUCUUUCACUCUUAGCUCACACAAAUCCUGCUGGGCACUAUUUAUGUAUUUGUAUGAAAAUUUGCUUUUAGUCGCCACUUCCAAACUAAGGCAAGCCCUGGGUGUUUUGUUUUUCAGAUUCCUUUUUUCCGAGGGUGAAUCCCUGGAUGGUGGCUCUGAGUGUGAUCCUGGUGCUUUUGUUUGGUUUCAUUGGCCUCACUGUUUAUCUGUUUAAAAUGAAAGGCAAACGAGAUAUAGAAGUUGAGAAACGAGAUAAAGAAAUAAGCAAAAGAGAUACAGAAAUUGGUAAGUGUCAUUAUCCUUCCUCUGACAAGAAAAUUUUAAUACCAGAUUGAAUCCUCAUGAUUGAGCUUGUUUACUUGUGGUGGAUGUGUUUGCUUUUAAAUUUAAGUUUUAAAAUUGUUGCAAUAGAGAACCUUUUUCAUUUGUUUGCUUCAUGCUUUUUAUUAUAGUUAUUAUCAUUCUUUUCAUGGUGUGUGGGGUUUUUUUAAAUGACACUUGAUGAAUUGGGGAAAAAGACUAAAUUGGAUGAAUUUCACACUAAAAGCUAAUUUGAAAAACUGAUAAGCAAUAUAAUAAUAGAAUCACAGAGUUUAAGACCAGAAAGAAUGACUGGCUCCUCUUGUCCAGUGUUCCGAAAGCUGUGGGGUAUGCCUGCUAGGAGUGCAUGAAGGAAUGUUAGGGGGAGGGGGUACAUGGCAGGGCCCUAGCGAGCUGCCAUGGGGCAUGGGGAGGUAGUGCCACCCAACCCCUCUCUGCCCCAAUUCCA